GGUGCGAAAUGCCUUAAGAAAGCUAAAAAGUAUUGUUUGAUGAGUGUGGGUAGUAUAACGUAGUUGGUCAGGUAAAGGCUGACCAAGCUAAUGAUGUUUAGCUGGUACUUUUGGAUGAUCAGCCACACUGAGACUGAGUCACGAUGCGGACUCCCAAUGGGG
rnacentral:ncRNA from 1 species